rnacentral:rRNA from 1 species
GACGAACGCUGGCGGCGUGCAUAAUACAUGCAAGUAGAACGCUGAAGAGAGGAGCUUGCUCUUCUUGGAUGAGUUGCGAACGGGUGAGUAACGCGUAGGUAACCUGCCUUGUAGCGGGGGAUAACUAUUGGAAACGAUAGCUAAUACCGCAUAACAAUGGAUGACACAUGUCAUUUAUUUGAAAGGGGCAAUUGCUCCACUACAAGAUGGACCUGCGUUGUAUUAGCUAGUAGGUGAGGUAACGGCUCACCUAGGCAACGAUACAUAGCCGACCUGAGAGGGUGAUCGGCCACACUGGGACUGAGACACGGCCCAGACUCCUACGGGAGGCAGCAGUAGGGAAUCUUCGGCAAUGGGGGCAACCCUGACCGAGCAACGCCGCGUGAGUGAAGAAGGUUUUCGGAUCGUAAAGCUCUGUUGUAAGUCAAGAACGAGUGUGAGAGUGGAAAGUUCACACUGUG